GAUCAUGGCUCAGGACGAACGCUGGCGGCGUGCCUAAUACAUGCAAGUCGAGCGGACAGAUGGGAGCUUGCUCCCUGAUGUUAGCGGCGGACGGGUGAGUAACACGUGGGUAACCUGCCUGUAAGACUGGGAUAACUCCGGGAAACCGGGGCUAAUACCGGAUGGUUGUUUGAACCGCAUGGUUCAAACAUAAAAGGUGGCUUCGGCUACCACUUACAGAUGGACCCGCGGCGCAUUAGCUAGUUGGUGAGGUAACUGGCUCACCAAGGCAACGAUGCGUAGCCGACCUGAGAGGGUGAUCGGCCACACUGGGACUGAGACACGGCCCAGACUCCUACGGGAGGCAGCAGUAGGGAAUCUUCCGCAAUGGACGAAAGUCUGACGGAGCAACGCCGCGUGAGUGAUGAAGGUUUUCGGAUCGUAAAGCUCUGUUGUUAGGGAAGAACAAGUACCGUUCGAAUAGGGCGGUACCUUGACGGUACCUAACCAGAAAGCCACGGCUAACUACGUGCCAGCAGCCGCGGUAAUACGUAGGUGGCAAGCGUUGUCCGGAAUUAUUGGGCGUAAAGGGCUCGCAGGCGGUUUCUUAAGUCUGAUGUGAAAGCCCCCGGCUCAACCGGGGAGGGUCAUUGGAAACUGGGGAACUUGAGUGCAGAAGAGGAGAGUGGAAUUCCACGUGUAGCGGUGAAAUGCGUAGAGAUGUGGAGGAACACCAGUGGCGAAGGCGACUCUCUGGUCUGUAACUGACGCUGAGGAGCGAAAGCGUGGGGAGCGAACAGGAUUAGAUACCCUGGUAGUCCACGCCGUAAACGAUGAGUGCUAAGUGUUAGGGGGUUUCCGCCCCUUAGUGCUGCAGCUAACGCAUUAAGCACUCCGCCUG
rnacentral:rRNA from 1 species